rnacentral:ncRNA from 1 species
CCUAAGGUAGCGGAAUACCUUGGCCGUUAAAUGCGGUCUUUGCAUGAAUGAUGUCACGAUACAACAGCUGUCUCAAUGAUUGACUCAGUGAAAUUGGAAUAACUGUGCAGAUACAGUUUUCUUCUAGGUAGACGAGAAGACCCUAUGCAGCUUUACUAUUGCUAAUAAUUGGGUAUGAUGGGUAGGCGAUAGUGUAUAAGGUAAUUGAUGAAAUAGAAUUGAAACACCUUUAUCUAGUCUGUCAUAUUAG